rnacentral:lncRNA from 10 species
CGAGACUCCAUCUCAAAAAAAAAAAAGCAUCCCUAACUGCUCAUUCUGCUGUCAAAAUCGAUGCGGGGUCAAAACAGAAAAAUUUCAGAAGAGAAUUUAGAGCUACAGCCUGUGAGAAACAGCAAAAAGUGAAAACCAAAGACCUGCUUAGGAAAACCCUCAUUGAAGAGAUGGGGAGGAAGGGCCUGAGCCCCCUACUCCAUUCCACAAUCAUUUUUACCGUGUCUCUAAAGGGAGAAGAUGGGAUUCUUUGGGCAUAAGGAGACGCCCACCUGGAAUCUUCCCAUCUGAGCUCUACCCAUUGAGGUCUGCCCAUCUGAGAGCUGCUCAGUGAGGUCUGCCCAUCUGAAAGCUACCCAUGGAGGUCUGCCCAUCUGCCAGCCCAGCUGAGGGUUGCCCAUCAAGAUCUGCUUAUCUGAAAUCUGCCCAUCUGAGGUCUGCCAGCCCUUCUGAGAAGGCCACCUGGAGGAAUAAGUUUAUCAUCCCAGGAGCAGGAAUCAACGUGGGAUAAAAUAGAGGACAUGAGCAGAGGGCACCUGGCUUCUCCCCAGGACACCUUCUUGGCCGUUUCUAAUGAACUGCUCCUUUCUGUGUGUCGCAGGACUUGGGGUGCACCUCUCUAUCACAGCCUGCUAUAUAAUGCUUUACCUACCUGUCUGUCUCCCCAAAUAGUUGCUGGGUUCCUUGAGGGACUAUAUCUUUUUCAGUUUCUGUUCCAUGCCUACUGUCUGGUAUCUACAUGAUCAGCAUUCAAUCAAUAUUUCUUAAAGGCAGGAAUACAUUAAUUAUUAAUUUUUACUCUGCUAUCAGUCCCCAGGCAUUUUGGGGCUGAACAGUGUUACUUAAAAAUAGGUAAAUGGGAUUAAAUUAAUGGUAUUAUUCACAUGGCCUUGCACAUAGCUCAAUCAUGACAUGUCGAAUGGGCGGUUAUCAAUAUCUCUGUGUUAAUCCUCUGAAACUUACAUGUAGCACAAUUUAUUUCUUAAUGGCAUUGAUUUUGUAACAAGGCAGCAUUUUGGGGGAGCAUUCACACAUCCCUAAGCUGAUUAUUUCAGUGAGUCAGAGAUCUUUUCAAUUACCAUUCUCUUUGUACAUAAGAGUCUAUAUUUCUGCCCCCUCAUUAAAGAAAGGAUGUUGGUCCUUUGGUUGGCACCAACCGUUGUAGGUCAGGACAAUUUUUUAUUUUUAUUUUUUGUAUUCAGGAAACAAAGGCUAAAAGUCCUUCAGCAAUGGCAGUUGAGGUUUCUGUAUCUCCUCCUUACAUAAUGAGUCCUGCCAGUUAGGACUGCACGAGGUGGGAGGAGGUGGCAGCUAGCCAGGAAGGCCUGUGGCAUUUUGAUAAACAGACAUCAAUAUUUAUCAGAGCUGCUCCGGUGUGCUUCCUUGGCUGCAGGAACAGGGAGCCCUCCCUGGGCUUGUAUAUUGUUUUCUCUGUAUGAGAUAAAUGUUUGGGGCCAUUAAAGAAAAAAAAAUGUUUGUACUCUGCUCCCCAGUUACCUAAGCUAAUUUACCUCACUAGGAGGUCUUGUAGUUCAUUAAUAAUAUACAAAUACAAAUCAAGGGAAGAAAUUGCCUUGUUAAUUGACUUUUGCGAUGGUAAUCUAAGACUCAUUGACUUUAAACAUUGCCCAACAACUGUGUUUAUACCACACUGGAAGGAUCAACUUUGGAGAAUGCAGAAAGCUACCCAAAGCAGAUACUUGAAAUCAUUGCUGCUUGGCUUUGUAAACAGACACCCAUCUCCAUUUGUUCUCUUUAGGCAUCUGGAGGUAGAAGACAGAAAAGAGACUAAGAGCGGGGAAUAGACUCAACCAUUCUAGAAUACAGCCCGGAUGUGUUACAGGAUCCUGCCCUGGAGUCCUCGCGCAAUCAAUGUUUAUGCUGUGCUCUGCUGGGCUGUGCUGGGCUGGCCUGGGCUGUGCUGUGCUGUGCUGUGCUGUGCUGUGCUGUGCUGUGCUGUGCUGGGCUGUGCUGGGUUGUGCUAGGCGGUACUAGGUGUUGCUAGGCUCCUGCCCCAUCACAAAUGGUUGCAACAAGAUUGAUUAGAAAGGGUACCAUUAGAUUCAGCUGACUGGUUCAAUUAGGAGAAAGGUUCAUCACUCUUAACACAUCAAAUCUCCCCCUAUGUCAGUCUUUCACUGACAUCAGGGGCUGGGCUUCUGUCUCCUCUUCUCUUCUCUGAUCAUUGCCUGUGCAGAAGACAUGGAACUUUUGUCUGUUCAUUAAUAGAGUCCAGUGGUAAGUUUUCCCAGGCCAGCCCUGGUGGUCAAAUGCUCUGGAUUCGAUGCCUAUCCAUUCUCUCCUCACCCUGCAACCACCGGUCCCCAAUUCCUACAAGUCUGGAGCUGGUUUCAAGUUCAUGAAUGUGACCUAGAGAGUAGCAACCUCCCAGCCUCCGGCAUAACCCAUGUUCUCUCUGACUCUGCUUGGGCCACGUGGAUAAUAAAUCUGGCUCCUCCUUGAAGCAGCCACUCACCCAUCAGCAUGGGCAGCCAUGCAAAUUUUCCUGCAGAUUUCACAGGGGAGACAGAGCAGUUUGUAAGUUGCAUGCUCCACAGCACACAGCCUUAAUCCCCUUGUUUGAUUUUUAAAAUUCUCCCCAAGGCGCACCUUGAUUGCUUUGCCUCUGGGACUCUUCCUUUCUGACCUGGCCCUUUGACAUCUUUUAAUUCCUCUCAUUCAUGCCUUUCUUGAUUAAAAGAAGAAGAGAAAAAAAGCUAGAUCUGGAGUGUGAAGCUUGAGAUUCUUUUUUUCUGUUCUGUAAAAUGGGGAUGAUAAUAAUUCCUACCUCAUAAGGUGAGAGGGAGAAUUAAAUGAGAAUUAAGUAAAUAUAAACUCUAAAGUAAUGUUUUGCAAAUAUGACCCAUGAAAUCAAUUUAAUGGGUUGCUACCUGCAUUAACAUGAAGUAAAAAAGAAUAGAAAAUAUCAGAGUGUAUUGCAUGUAGUAAGCAUAAGUUUUGUGAGUCUUUUCUUCUGAUUUUGUAUGUGUAUGUGCAUGUGUGUGUAUGUGUGUGUGACCACUGGCAAUGUAAAAUGGACUCUGCU